rnacentral:rRNA from 1 species
AUUGAACGCUGGCGGCAGGCCUAACACAUGCAAGUCGAACGAGUGGCGGACGGGUGAGUAAUGUCUGGGAAACUGCCUGAUGGAGGGGGAUAACUACUGGAAACGGUAGCUAAUACCGCAUACGAUCAGAUGUGCCCAGAUGGGAUUAGCUAGUUGGUGGGGUAAUGGCUCACCCAGGCGACGAUCCCUAGCUGGUCUGAGAGGAUGACCAGCCACACUGGAACUGAGACACGGGCCAGACUCCUACGGGAGGCAGCAGUGGGGAAUAUUGGACAAUGGGCGAAAGCCUGAUCCAGCCAUGCCGCGUGUGUGAAGAAGGCCUUCGGGUUGUAAAGCACUUUCAGCGGGGAGGCGUUACCCGAAGAAGAAGCAACGGCUAACUCCGUGCCAGCAGCCGCGGUAAUAC